rnacentral:rRNA from 1 species
UACAGAGGGUGCGAGCGUUAAUCGGAAUUACUGGGCGUAAAGCGUGCGUAGACGGUUACGUAAGUCGGAUGUGAAAUCCCCGGGCUCAACCUGGGAAUUGCAUUCGAGACUGUGUAGCUGGGGUGCGGAAGAGGGAAGCGGAAUUUCCGGUGUAGCGGUGAAAUGCGUAGAUAUCGGAAGGAACAUCAGUGGCGAAAGCGGCUUCCUGGUCCAGCACCGACGUUCAGGCACGAAAGCGUGGGGAGCAA